rnacentral:lncRNA from 1 species
UGCAUGUCUGAAGGGCACAAUAUAUCCUCCCCCAAAUUACAGUGUGUAUACUCGGAUGUGGUGUGAACGUUGAGUAUAUGCAAACAGUCCUGAUGUGUGCAGCAUUUUGUGCAAUACAUGUGCUCCAGAUGAAACCCAAAGGCUGCCUUCAGAGUGGGAUCAUACUGUUACUUCCAGUGUGGGCCAUAGGGGUGCAGAGGGAGUUCCUGAAAAUAGAGGAAACUGAGUCAGAGUGGACCUGUUUCUUGCUCCCACUAUGUUCACCUAACUUACUUCACUGA